UACGUAGGGGGCUAGCGUUGUCCGGAAUCAUUGGGCGUAAAGCGCGUGUAGGCGGUCCGGUAAGUCCGCUGUGAAAGUCGGGGGCUCAACCCUCGAAUGCCGGUGGAUACUGUCGGGCUAGAGUGCGGAAGAGGCGAGUGGAAUUCCUGGUGUAGCGGUGAAAUGCGUAGAUAUCCGGAGGAACACCGGUGGCGAAGGCGGCUUCCUGGACCGACAUUGACGCUGAGGCGCGAAAGCUAGGGGAGCAAACGGG
rnacentral:rRNA from 1 species